GCUUUUAAAUUCUUUAUUAUACAGAUUUAGCAUCAGCUGAGAAAAACAGGAUUGAGGAAAAACAGAGGGCAGCCAGAAAAGAAAGAAAAAAGAAAAAGGAGGAAUGGUCCCCAUUGUGGUUUUCAUAUGGAGUGAGUCCAUGCACUGGAAAGGAGGACUGGUUAUAUAAAGAAGAAUACUGGAAGAGAGACUGGGCCAAAUGUCAAGACAUUUUUUGAAACAAGCUGAGGAGGUCACCAGUGUGACUUUUAUAAAAUUUAGCAAGAAGGAUCUCUUGUGCAAAAGAAAUAUAUCCAAUGGCUGUCACUAUAAACUCUGUAUGUCACUUAAUUACUGAUGUCCAGUAGACAUUAAAUAUUAUACCAAAACACA